GGGUCACAAGGGUCUCGCUUAAGUUCCAAUUUCCUUAACAGAAUUAAGUAAAUGUACUAAUUUAAGAAAAUGAUUUGUAACUUUUUAUUGAAAAGUAAAACCAUGAAAAAUUAAGGGUCUAAUAAUUUAAACAAGGUUUUAAUUCGAUCAACUUCACCAUCCCAAUAGUGCUUAAGACGUUGACCAUUAACUUUAAAUGUACCUCUGUGGUUGUCGUACAAUUCUAC
rnacentral:lncRNA from 1 species